rnacentral:rRNA from 1 species
UAAAUCGGGGGCAUACUGUAUUAGUAUUGGAUGAUCGGGAAUUUAAACCUCUUCCAGAGUAUCAAUUGGAGGGCAAGUCUGGUGCCAGCAGCCGCGGUAAUUCCAGCUCCAAUAGCGUAUAUUAAAAUUGUUGCAGUUAAAAAGCUCGUAGUUGAAUUUCUGCUGCAUUGCAUCUUCUUUUUGAUGAGUUGGUGUAUUGUGGCUUAUUUCGGAUGAUACUUGUAUUAUCCGGAUGAUUACUUUGAGAAAAUUAGAGUGCUCAAAGCAGGCUUUUGCCUUGAAUAGUUUAGCAUGGAAUAAUAAAGUAGGACUUUGGUUCUAUUUUGUUGGUUUUAGGUACCAAAGUAAUGGUUAAUAGGAGCAGUUGGGGG